UGACUUGCUUUGGCCCGUGGAGCUGAGUGGAUGUGGGACCCGUAAUCUCCAGGCAGAAGCUUUAAGAGCCAGUGUGCAACUCGCCCUGCUUUCCUGUCCUCUGCUGCAGUGACCAACAAUGCUCCAGAUCACCGGUGGCUGCCCUGUCAACCUGAGCCUCAGAGUGAAAGGCCAAGGACCCAGAUGAUUUGUCAAGAGCCCCCCUGGCAUGUGCAAGAAGUAGAUUUUUGUGUUGAGGCCCUGACACCCUGGGGUUGUUCAUUACUGCCUCGUGUCCUGGCCAGUCCUCGCUGGCACCGAUGGAUGGAGGUACGGAAGACUUCAUUCGCCCAUCACCCGGCAACGUUGAAUGAGUGCUUCCUAAAGCCGAGGGCCUGGGGGUGCCACAGAGACGCAGUCAAGCAAGGACCCUGCCCUCCAAGGGGACCCAGGCAUUAAAGAACAGCUUUCUCAGGAAGGAGAAUGGAUUGGAGGAAUCGGGAAUCAGGAAUCUGUGCUUCGGGGGGCUUGCGACAGGCGGGUGUCCGGGCAGGUGAGCGUGGUGACCUGGGCAGGGGGAGGCCGCGGGGAUGGGGAGAGGUGGUGAGCUUGAGUGUGGUAUCGGGAGGUAGAAUCAACAGGACUUGUUGGUGGACGGGGUGUAGGGGGGCACAGAUGAGUCCCAAAAAUGCAGGUUCAGUGCAGGCCGUUCGUCUUGAUAGGCCACCCGUCUGUCUACAGAUAGGCUCUUCUGUCUACACCGCCUUCUCUGUGUACUCAAGCUGGCGUUCUGACCCCCAUUUGUCUCAUCCCGGUGGGAGGAGAGGGUUGUCAUUUAUGCUUUCUGGAGCCUCAGUAGCAUCCCCAAAAGCAUCCUGUUAAAAAUUAAAAAAAAAAUUUUUUUUGAA